rnacentral:misc_RNA from 1 species
AACGCACAUUGCACCCGCCAGUACUCUGGCGGGUAUGCCUGUUCGAGCGUCAUCUCAAACCUCAAGCAUCGCUUGCUGUUGGGGCGCUCCGGUCUUUUCCGGAGGCCCCUAAUCCUAGUGGCGGAGCGUCGUCGGCUCUGAGCGUAGUACUGUUCUCGCUCUUGGGCCUCGGUGUUGCCUGCCGUAAAACCACCAAAACUCAAGGUUUGACCUCGGAUCAGGUAGGGAUACCCGCUGAACUUAA